ensembl:misc_RNA Y_RNA Y RNA
GAUUGGUCCAAUGGCAGUGGGUUAUCAGAAUAUAUUAACAUUUAGUGUCACUAAAGUUGGUAUACAGCCCACCACUGUUAAAUUUGAAUGGCUUAC